GUUUCGCUUAAUGACUUUCCAUAAGUACGUCAUACUAUAAUUUUUUUACAACAAUCUUGAUUGAUGAAUUUUUUGACACGAUAUGGAAAAGUGAAUUUCUAAUCAAUACUAUGUGAACACAGGAUAACCGGUAACAUGCAUAGGACAUCCAUUAAACGUCUGGGCAUCCGCAGGGCGUCUUUAAACGUCCAGUGCCCACUGGAUGCAAUAUAUUACAUUGUACAAUUGAAAAUUCUCUAUGUAAGGAUGUUACAAGUUGUUCUGCAGGAGUUCACAUACUUAUACAGGUUCAAACACAAAACUUUGAAGAUGAAGUUUAUGAAUCAGUUGGACAUGACUUUAAUCAAGAAAAUUCAUCUGAAAAUAAUAAGGAUGUAAAUGAAAUAUUCUUAAAAGACAGCUUCAAUAAUAUCAAACUAAACACUUUUCCAUUUAUUAUCAUUAAACAGAAUUAAAUAAAGAUCACAAUUAUCAUAAAGAUAGCACUCUUAAAUUCAACAUAUCUCUUGUUGUUACAUUUGCAAUUGUAUCUGCUUUCCUUCAAUAUUUGAUCAAAUCUAAUUACUUGACUCCAAAAAUAGCUAAUUUAUAAUGCGAUCCUAAAAUAAUUUGGAGAGGCAGAUAGGAGGUUAUGGUUAAAGUAUUAAUUAUUAAAGUACUAAAUAAAGGCAUAUCUAAAGAUGGAAAAAAAGACCCUUAUCUAAUUUACAUUCAAGAUUCAGUUAUUAAAACAUUUUGUCGAAGAAUAAAAAACAUAAGUUUUAAUUCAAAACCAGAUGAAAGCUAUUUGACCCAUUGCUCACCUUCAAAGGGUCCAAACAAACCAGUUAUAAAAGCUGCAUUCGGUCUUUAUAACUGAAUGGUUGCUAGAGGAACCGAUCAUGCUAUAAUGGUGAUUGGAUCAGAAUCCACAAAUCAAAGGUCUUAGUUUAUUUAAACAGCCAAACUUAAGUAUGCUGUAAGAAAUUCUAUUCAAAAUGAGGCAUUUCAUGUUCAUCUGAGUCUCUUCUAAUAUCUCUUCUUGCAAGCUCAUCAAAAAAAAUAGAACUUUUGUAGUCAAGAUGAAUAUGAAAGUUAGAGAAGAUUCAGAGCAAAGUGAUGUAAGUGCAAGAAACCGAAAAAAAAUUACACUUAACUUUUAUGCUGUGGCUCUCCUUAAACUUAUUGAUUGUUUACAUUAUUAGUAAUGAACAAAUUUUGCAGCCGAAUUUUACAUGCAAUAUGGCAAAAAAAGAUUUAAAAAAGUAAUAGAUUCUUCUAUGGAAGUACCUUACUACCCUCUUCACACAAAAUUUUGUGAAAGAGUUGCUAAAAAAAACUGUUUAGCUUGAUGGUCAAGCUUGAUUUUUAUAAAAAUUUUAUUUUUCAUCAAAA
rnacentral:lncRNA from 1 species